rnacentral:rRNA from 1 species
GUAUAGCAUCUAUACCGUGAAACUGCGAAUGGCUCAUUAAAUCAGUUAUCGUUUAUUUGAUAGUACCUUACUACUUGGAUACCCGUGGUAAUUCUAGAGCUAAUACAUGCUAAAAACCCCGACUUCGGAAGGGGUGUGUUUAUUAGAUAAAAAACCAAUGCCCUUCGGGGCUCCUUGGUGAUUCAUGAUAACUUCUCAGAUCGCACGGCCUUGCGCCGGCGACGGUUCAUUCAAAUUUCUGCCCUAUCAACUUUCGAUGGUAAGGUAUUGGCUUACCAUGGUUUCAACGGGUAACGGGGAAUUAGGGUUCGAUUCCGGAGAGGGAGCCUGAGAAACGGCUACCACAUCCAAGGAAGGCAGCAGGCGCGCAAAUUACCCAAUCCCGACACGGGGAGGUAGUGACAAUAAAUACUGAUACAGGGCUCUUUUGGGUCUUGUAAUUGGAAUGAGUACAAUUUAAACCUCUUAACGAGGAACAAUUGGAGGGCAAGUCUGGUGCCAGCAGCCGCGGUAAUUCCAGCUCCAAUAGCGUAUAUUAAAGUUGUUGCAGUUAAAAAGCUCGUAGUUGAAUCUUUGGCCUGGCUGGCAGGUCCGCCUCACCGCGUGCACUUGUCCGGCCGGGCCUUUUCUUCUGGAGAACCGCAUGCCCUUCACUGGGCGUGUUGGGGACCAGGACUUUUACUUUGAAAAAAUUAGAGUGUUCAAAGCAGGCCUUUGCUCGAAUACGUUAGCAUGGAAUAAUAGAAUAGGACGCGCGGUCCUAUUUUGUUGGUUUCUAGGACCGCCGUAAUGAUUAAUAGGGACAGUCGGGGGCAUCAGUAUUCAAUUGUCAGAGGUGAAAUUCUUGGAUUUAUUGAAGACUAACUACUGCGAAAGCAUUUGCCAAGGAUGUUUUCAUUAAUCAGUGAACGAAAGUUAGGGGAUCGAAGACGAUCAGAUACCGUCGUAGUCUUAACCAUAAACUAUGCCGACUAGGGAUCGGGCGGUGUUAUCGAUUUGACCCGCUCGGCACCUUGCGAGAAAUCAAAGUG